rnacentral:rRNA from 1 species
CACGUAGGGUGCGAGCGUUGUCCGGAAUUAUUGGGCGUAAAGAGCUCGUAGGCGGUGUGUCGCGUCGGCCGUGAAAACCUGCAGCUUAACUGUGGGCUUGCGGUCGAUACGGGCAUCACUGGAGUUCGGCAGGGGAGACUGGAAUUCCUGGUGUAGCGGUGAAAUGCGCAGAUAUCAGGAGGAACACCGGUGGCGAAGGCGACAUCCUGGACCGGUAUUGACGCUGAGGCGCGAAAGCCAGGGGAGCAAACGGG